UACGUAGGGGGCAAGCGUUGUUCGGAAUUACUGGGCGUAAAGAGCUCGUAGGCGGUUUGUUGCGUCGGCUGUGAAAUCCCGAGGCUCAACCUCGGGUCUGCAGUCGAUACGAGCAAACUAGAGUGUUGCAGGGGAGACGUGGAAUUCCUGGUGUAGCGGUGGAAUGCGCAGAUAUCGGGAGGAACGACCAGUGGCGAAGGCGGCUAGCUGGCCUGUAACUGACGCUGAGGCGCGAAGGCUAGGGGAGCGAACAGG
rnacentral:rRNA from 1 species